rnacentral:rRNA from 1 species
UACGUAGGGGGCAAGCGUUGUCCGGAUUUAUUGGGCGUAAAGAGCGUGUAGGCGGUUCGGUAGGUCCGUUGUGAAAACUCGAGGCUCAACCUCGAGACGCCGAUGGAAACCCCCGAACUAGAGUCCGGAAGAGGAGACUGGAAUUCCUGGUGUAGCGGUGAAAUGCGCAGAUAUCAGGAGGAACACCGGUGGCGAAGGCGGGUCUCUGGGCCGAAAUUGACGCUGAGGAGCGAAAGCGUGGGGAGCAAACAGG